ensembl:snoRNA SNORA74 Small nucleolar RNA SNORA74
CCCAGCUGCGGACAACAAACUAGGCUGCAUUGUACCUAGGCAAGUGUUACACUGCUGGAAGAAAAGCAGCCACUAGCUGGCAGGCAUCCGGGGCCUGGUUGAUGCCAAAUCUGUGUUAACCAUACCAAUGUGCCAACAUA